rnacentral:rRNA from 1 species
GAUGAACGCUGGCGGCGUGCCUAACACAUGCAAGUCGAGCGAUCUCUUCGGAGAGAGCGGCGGACGGGUGAGUAACACGUGGGUAACCUGCCCUGUACACACGGAUAACAUACCGAAAGGUAUGCUAAUACGGGAUAAUAUAUAAAAGUCGCAUGGCUUUUAUAUCAAAGCUAUUGCGGUACAGGAUGGGCCCGCGUCUGAUUAGCUAGUUGGUAAGGUAACGGCUUACCAAGGCGACGAUCAAUAACCGACCUGGGAGGGUGAUCGGCCACACUGGAACUGAGACACGGUCCAAACUCCUACGGGAGGCAGCAGUGUGGAAUAUUGCACAAUGGGCGAAAGCCUGAUGCAGCAACGCCACGUGAGCGAUGAAGGCCUUCGGGUCGUAAAGCUCUGUCCUCAAGGAAGAUUAUGACGGUACUUGAGGAGGAAGCCCCGGCUAACUACGUGCCAGCCGCCGCCGUAA